UGGGGAAUAUUGCACAAUGGGCGCAAGCCUGAUGCAGCCAUGCCGCGUGUAUGAAGAAGGCCUUCGGGUUGUAAAGUACUUUCAGCGGGGAGGAAGGGAGUAAAGUUAAUACCUUUGCUCAUUGACGUUACCCGCAGUAGAAGCACCGGCUAACUCCGUGCCAGCAGCCGCGGUAAUACGGAGGGUGCAAGCGUUAAUCGGAAUUACUGGGCGUAAAGCGCACGCAGGCGGUUUGUUAAGUCAGAUGUGAAAUCCCCGGGCUCAACCUGGGAACUGCAUCUGAUACUGGCAAGCUUGAGUCUCGUAGAGGGGGGUAGAAUUCCAGGUGUAGCGGUGAAAUGCGUAGAGAUCUGGAGGAAUACCGGUGGCGAAGGCGGCCCCCUGGACGAAGACUGACACUCAGGUGCGAAAGCGUGGGGAGCAAACAGG
rnacentral:rRNA from 1 species